rnacentral:rRNA from 1 species
AUGACUAGAGAUAACCUUAGGAAGAGACACAUUAUCAAGCCUUUGGAUUGUGUUUUCUAUGAGGAAAAUGAAUCCAUCACACACCUCUUUUUUGAAUGUGUAGUGGCUAAAGUUGUCAGGUCUUUCAUUAGUAAUCAAUUCCAGAGAGAUAUUGGAAACAACUUUGAAUCUAUAGCUAGGUUUUUGGUCCCCAAUAACAAAAACUCUGCUCUGAAUAAUGUUACUUCUGUAGCCCUGUGGGGGCUUUCGAAACUUAGAAAUUGUAUGAUUUUUGAUGAUACGAUUUGGUCCUCUAUUAAGCAGGUCAUGAGACUGAACAUGAGGAUGAAAACAUCCUGGAUCAUCCUGUCUGUGGAGCUAGGCAGAUCGAGACUGGAGGACUUCUCAGCCCAGCUGACCACCGUUCUGCAACGCCCUCUGCUGAUCACAAGUGAUUAG